GACGAACGCUGGCGGCGUGCUUAACACAUGCAAGUCGAACGGAAAGGCCCUGCUUUUGUGGGGUGCUCGAGUGGCGAACGGGUGAGUAACACGUGAGUAACCUGCCCUUGACUUUGGGAUAACUUCAGGAAACUGGGGCUAAUACCGGAUAGGAGCUCCUGCUGCAUGGUGGGGGUUGGAAAGUUUCGGCGGUUGGGGAUGGACUCGCGGCUUAUCAGCUUGUUGGUGGGGUAGUGGCUUACCAAGGCUUUGACGGGUAGCCGGCCUGAGAGGGUGACCGGCCACUGUGGGGAUUGAGUGACGGCCAGCCCCCGGAGGGGGGGAAGGGGGGGGGAAUAUGCAAAAGGGGGGGAAGGCGGGAGGCACAAACGCGGGGGGGGGGAUGCGGCCUUGGGGGUGGAAACCCGUUGCGCCUGGUGACGAGGGGGGGGGGAGGGUAGGGGGAAAAGAACCACGGCAAAACUCCGC
rnacentral:rRNA from 1 species